rnacentral:rRNA from 1 species
UAAGGUAGCGAAAUUCCUUGUCGGGUAAGUUCCGACCUGCACGAAUGGCGUAACGACUUCCGCACUGUCUCGACCUGGGACUCAGUGAAAUUGAAUUGGGGGUGAAGAUGCCUCCGACCCGCGGAAAGACGGAAAGACCCUGUGAACCUUUACUAUAGCUUGGCACUGACAUUUGAGCGUUCAUGUGUAGGAUAGGUGGGAGACUAUGAGACCGGGCCGCUAGGUUCGGUGGAGUCAUCGUUGAAAUACCACCCUUGGCCGUUUAGAUGUCUAACCUGCGUCGGAUAGCCCGGCGGGGGACAGUGUCUGGUGGGUAGUUUGACUGGGGCGGUCGCCUCCCAAAAAGUAACGGAGGCGCGCGAUGGUUCCCUCAGCCUGAUUGGAAACCAGGCGUAGAGCGCAAAAGCAGAAGGGAGCUUGACUGCGAGACCGACGGGUCGAGCAGGUACGAAAGUAGGCUUUAGUGAUCCGGUGGUUCUGCGUGGAAGGGCCAUCGCUCAACGGAUAAAAGGUACUCCGGGGAUAACAGGCUUAUCUCCCCCAAGAGUUCACAUCGACGGGGAGGUUUG